GCUUUGGGCAGAGAUCCUCAAGAAGGUAGG
rnacentral:piRNA from 1 species